CAGGGUUGGGAAUGGCAACCCACUCCAGUACUAUUGCCUGGAAAAUCCCAUCGACGGAUUUUCCGUCUACAGUCCAUGGGGUCGCAGGGAGUUGGACACGACUGAGCGAGUUCACUUCCACCUUUCAUCCCUUUCUCAGUCUGAGACAGGAGAACGGAGUCCUGGAGACAGUGUGUGGGGCGGGGGACAUGGAGACGUGUUGCUCAGCACCUCCACGUGUCUGCGCCUGACAGGUUCUGUCUGCCUCUCUCCCCCAAGGGAAGACAGGCUCUGCCCACUGGCGGCCGAAGAUGACGCCACGGCGGCUGUGAGGUGGCCCGAGCCCCGCCGGCAGGCAGGCGCCCUGCAGGGAUCUCCCCCCGCGGCCUGGUCCGACUACACUGAGGAGCCUGACCGCCAGAGGCAGGCCUGCAGCAUCCCCAUGUGGUUGACCGACGAGGAGGCCAAGGAUGGGGACAGCUCCGUGUCGUCGGGCCGCCUCUCUGGCUCCUCGGGGGGCCAUGAGUCGUGCACCCCUCCCCACAGGACUUGGACCGAGAGGGCCCCCCAGGUGCCAAGGCCACCGCGGCAGCCGAGAGAGAGCAACCCCCGGCUGGAGCAGCUGAGGGACAAGAUCCGGGCCCAAGCCCAGCGGCAGGCAAGCUGCGCCUCGCUGGGCACCUCGACACCCUCCAGCGCCUCACACCUCUACAAAGCUUUCACACCAGCACCCCGGAGGAAGGCCCGAAAGCCUUCAAACCCCCUACCAGCCCCGGCCUACCCAGGCAUCCUGAGUGGAACUAAAAGUGGAGUUGAAGAGAAGGCAACCCCUGGCCAUGGGCGUGAGGCCUCCAGGAUCUCCCAGCACCAAGUCUCAGAUCACAGCAAGAAGGUUGGAGCCACCGAGAGCUCCCCUGUCCACCCCCAGACGCCAAGUCCAGCCUCUGUCCACAGUGACCCGCAGAUGCCCUCAGCCAACGUGCCCACCCUGGCUUCCCGCGAUCCACCUGUGAACGUCCAGGCUGCUAUGGCCGUCCUUCGAGACCUCCGCCAGCAAAUCCAGGCCGGGCUGGAGCUGGCCCGGGCCCGUCACACGAGCCGAGGGCUGGAGCUGCGUGACCUGGCAGGGAGGAGGCGGCCAGGCCCCUGGAAACCCCAAGACGUCCGGGGCUCCUUCUGGAAGAGCCCUGGGGCCCCGACGGACGGGCUGCCUGCCUCCAAGAAGGCUGGGAGCCUCCCUGCCGCACAGCGCUGGAGCCCUGUGGCUGGGUGGGAGUCCUAUCCACAUAGGACCUGGGCGGCCCCAGGACGGGACACCUCCUUCCAGAGACGCGUGAGCCCCACUGAAGGGCUGAACUCCUUCCCCCAGCGGCCCUGGAGUGCCUCGGCCAGGCAGGCCUCCUGCCCCCCAAAGACCUGGGCGUUCCAAGGACGAAACCUCUCCUUGCAGAGGCCCGGGAGCCCCCCCGAAAGGUGGGUCCCCUUCCUGCAGCGGUCCUGGAGCGCCUCGGCCGGACAGGCCUGGGGUCCACAGAGGGCCUGGACUGCUUGUGAAGACCCGGCAGCCCCCGCCCCGAGGCCAUGGAGCCCUCUGGAAAGGCCGAGCCAACCCACCUGGCGACCCUGGAGCGCCUCCUUCACACAGGGGCCCAGCCCCCUGUAUCAGGGCAGGGGUCCCCUGCGGACCCCCUCGGGGGCCAAGCUCGCCUGGCCAAGGCCCAGCCAGGGUGCGCUUUGGAACGCGCCUGAGAAGGAGAAUGAGGUGCGGCCACCUCGGCCUUGCCCCCAGCCCCGGGGGGCCCUGGGCCCCCUCCACGGCUCUGAGUCCCUGCGUGAGUUCAUGCGCCAGAAGACUGCAGCCUGGUGGCGGCAGGCCCUCAAGGAGAAGGCCUCAGCCAUGCACUCGCUGGAGCUCAGAAACCAGAGGCUCCAGGGCGCCCACAGGAAGCAGAGGGAGGCCAUGCUGGGCAGAGCCAUCCCCGUGGUCUCCCAGACGACCCCUGGCAUUGUGACCUUCGUCCCGCACGCGGCACAGUCCAGGGUAUGUGGCAGCUCGGACACCCAGCUCCCCUGGUCCAUGGGGCUUUGCGGGGACCCCAUUGCCUCCGUUUCUGCCCACCCUCCCCCAGGAAGGGACCAGCCUGUGAUUCCCGCAGAGGCCGGGGCCAGCUCCAAGGCUGAGACAGGGUCUGGGGCCUUGCGGCUGGGCUGGGGCCUUGCGGCUGGGCUGGGGCUGACAGCAUCCUCCUUUGCUUUAGGAUCUGGAAGCUGCCGCCGGGCCGGGGGCGCCGGUGCUGCAGUGGAGCAAGGUGACUUCCGGUAUGGUGCUGGGGGACCAGGAGGCCCCAGGCAGGUGGGUGUGAGCGGCCGGGGCUGGACUUCCUGGGGGACUGUCCCGGGCAGGGGUUGGCUCGCUCGGUCCAGAGCCGCACAGAGCCUGUGAUCAGGGCUGCGUCGGUUUCCACUGAGGUGAGAUUGCUGUCACGUAAAGUUAACCUUUAUGAGCUGAACUAUUCAGGGGCCCUUAGUACAUUCACAAUAUUUUGAAACCAACCACCACCUCUGUCUAGUCCCAGAACAUUUCAUCACCUGGAAGGAAAUGCGGUUUCCGUUCACAGUCGCCCCCCUCACUCCGCCCCUGAGCCCUGAGGCAUCCCCAAUCGGCUGUCUGUCCUUACGGAUUCACCUGUUCCCCAUGCACUAUAUAGGAG
ensembl:lincRNA